GACGUAGGAGGCGAGCGUUGUCCGGAUUCAUUGGGCGUAAAGAGCGCGCAGGCGGCUUGGUAAGUCGGAUGUGAAAUCCCGAGGCUCAACCUCGGGUCUGCAUCCGAUACUGCCCGGCUAGAGGUAGGUAGGGGAGAUCGGAAUUCCUGGUGUAGCGGUGAAAUGCGCAGAUAUCAGGAGGAACACCGGUGGCGAAGGCGGGUCUCUGGGCCGUAACUGACGCUGAGGAGCGAAAGCAUGGGGAGCGAACAGG
rnacentral:rRNA from 1 species